AUCAGUAAGCGGUGGAAAGCAAACUAAACAGGAUUCUCUUAGUAACUGCGAGUGAACAGAGACUAGCCCAACAUCGAAGCCACCAUGCGUUUGUAUGGAAGGCAAUGUGAUGUUUUGGUGUUUGAACGCACUGUCUGACUAACUUGAAGUCCAUAUUUGACUGUGGCUUGUAUUUAUACACCCAAAGAUGGUGAUAGGCCCGUUCAGGUUGGUAUUCUGGCAUGACAGUUCAGUGUGUUUUCAUUCACCAUAGAGUCGGAUUGCUUGAGAGUGCAGUCCAAAAUGGGUGGUAAACUCCAUCUAAGGCUAAAUACCUGUACGAGUCCGAUAGUCAACAAGUACCGUGAGGGAAAGUUGAAAAGUACUCUGAAGAGAGAGUAAAUAGUACGUGAAACCACAUGGAGGUUAAACAAAUAGAGUCAAGCUGCUUGCACCACACUAUUGCAAUAAGCGCAUUUGGUUGCAUGGCACUUGCCGAGACUUGAACAUGUGAUUCUGUCUACUUGUAGGCAUUCGAGCAUGUGUAUGUUGUUGAAAGGUCUUGGUGAGUGUCUGCGCUUAUUGUUUAUGGUGGGUGCUAAUGCCAUAGUCGGUUGUACUACCAAUGCGCAAUAAUCAGCGAUUGUGCGAGCUGACUUGAUGUCGUUCGUGCAAUUAGUAUAACAGUUGGCUUAAGUGGAUGCUUGCAUUUGCUUGUGUCAAAGAAGGCUGCGGCCUGUUGAUUAUUGUGAACGUUGUGAGAGUCGACCGUUUAUAUGUGCUCUUAAUUUUGUGGAAGUAAGACGGCUUGCCGGCUACUUCUAUAAAUGAGCUUAUGAGCUAUGGUAUCGUGGUAG
rnacentral:rRNA from 1 species